UGUGCAUACUGAGCUGGGUUCAGUGAGAUUCUUGUACUCUCAUGUGCAACUGCUGCAUUUUGCAAGAUAUUCUCAAUUUUAGAAUUCUUUUUCCAUCCUCUGAAAUCGAACUGAAAAUCUCUCAAUCUUUUUAAGGUGGCUAAUACAAUGAAGAAAAAGAGCUAUUUGUCAGAAACUGGUUAUUUCAUCAUGAUCAUGUAAAGUCUUUGAAAAUUAUUUUGCAUUUUGUUAACGUAUGUAGUGCUAAAAAAACUGUUUUUUUAGUGCUUGAAAAUUGGAACCCUGUAUGGAAAUUUAGUCACUGGUUCGAAGAACUAGUAACUAAUAAAUAAAUGAAUUAUCUUAGAAAUAAUUAUUAUCUUAUAAAUCUCAUAAAUUAGUAGCUAAUAAAUAAAUUAGUUACUAAGGUAACUAAUUUAUACAUUUUCACUGGUUCAUUUACAAGUUGUUAUAGAUUUUUUGUUUUAAAUAUGUUAAUAAUGGAAAUUUAAAUUAAAAAUUACAAUACAGAGAAUGCAUUCGAUUAAGAUGACAUGAACUAUUUUUUGACAAAGAAGACCUAAACAUGAAACAAACAAAACAGCAUACCAUCCCUUUUCAUCCAUUGCUGUUCUAGCAGAUAACUGAUAAUUAUUUUAUGAUGGUUCUGUUCAAAUUUUAGCAGUUUUGGAACACUGUUAAUUUCAAACUCUGAUCAGGAUAGCUUACUUUUGUUGAAACCUGCUGUAGCGAUGUUCAUUGAUUCAACUUUUAUUUUAACUUUGAAGUAUCAACUCUAAUUUUAUUUAUUUUGUUACUAUGUCUUUUUUUCUUUCAAUUGUUUAUGCAUUCUAUUAGUUCAGGUAAGAAUAAAGGACUUUAUGUUGUUGUUUCCAAAUUUUUUGAAGUUUAGAAUUUGGAAUUAUAUGUUGUAUAUUUUUAGAACUUUAUUUUAAAGCAUACAAUUGAUACAAAGCUAAACUAAAACACAUUGAACAAUCGAAACAAGCUCUAAUUGCGAAGUAUUCCAAUAGCAGUUUCAGAAGUGGGCGAGCUGGGCUGGACCUCCUAGUGUGUUUAUAUUCUGAUUAAAAUCAGUAUAUAAUUUAAUAAUUUCUAGAACAUUUCAUUAUUCAUAUGAGCAAAAUUGUUUAGAAAAUGUGUUUGUAUUUCAAAAUGCUUGUGAAAAAAACUCUAAAAAAAAUAAGGUUUCAUGGUACGUGUGACUAAUUUUUUAAAAAGAUCUGUGAAACCUGUCAAGUUGGCUUUAUCAAAAUCUAAAUUUAUUCCAUGUAUUGAAAGGAAACGAAACCUUUGUAAUUUGACCUCCUGUCUUAUCUAGCAUGUCGACCGAUGAAAUAAAUCAAAUUUGUCUAAUAGUGUUAUUGAGUGCUAUUCUAAAUCCUUAAAUUAACCAGGAAAAAAACCUUUUUUUAAGAAUAUAUUUAUGCAGUUGGGUUGUGAUUAGAAAUUCACUGAGUUGGCGAAAUAGAUAAACCACUUAGUGAGUUUAUCAUGUAGGGAAAUUAUGUAAGGGCUCUCGUUUGUUUUGUAAAAGGCAACAAAUUUAUUUUAUAAUUAAUUAACAAAAUAAAAUUUGAAAUAAAUAUAAUAUUAAGCUGUCUAAUUAGGUAGGUUCUUGUGCAAUGAUAUUUUAAUGAGUCUUUAUAAUAAAUAACUGACAUGCUAAAGCAGUGGUCCCUAACCCCCGAUCCUUUGUCUGUGGAACAAAUAGUACCCAUCGCCAAAGGAACAUCAAAUUAUUUAAAGACCUGAAGGUUGGCUGGACAAAUCCAAU
rnacentral:lncRNA from 1 species